UACGUAGGGGGCUAGCGUUGUCCGGAUUUAUUGGGCGUAAAGAGCGUGUAGGCGGCUUGGUAGGUCCGCUGUGAAAACUCGAGGCUCAACCUCGAGAUGUCGGCGGAAACCACUUGGCUAGAGUCCGGAAGAGGAGAGUGGAAUUCCUGGUGUAGCGGUGAAAUGCGCAGAUAUCAGGAAGAACACCUAUGGCGAAGGCAGCUCUCUGGGACGGUACUGACGCUGAGACGCGAAAGCGUGGGGAGCGAACAGG
rnacentral:rRNA from 1 species